rnacentral:rRNA from 1 species
UACGUAGGGCGCGAGCGUUGUCCGGAAUUAUUGGGCGUAAAGAGCUCGUAGGCGGCCUGUCGCGUCGGUUGUGAAAGCCCGGGGCUCAACCCCGGGUCUGCAGUCGAUACGGGCAGGCUAGAGUUCGGUAGGGGAGAUCGGAAUUCCUGGUGUAGCGGUGAAAUGCGCAGAUAUCAGGAGGAACACCGGUGGCGAAGGCGGAUCUCUGGGCCGUAACUGACGCUGAGGAGCGAAAGCAUGGGGAGCGAACAGG